rnacentral:rRNA from 1 species
UACGUAGGGGGCGAGCGUUGUCCGGAUUUAUUGGGCGUAAAGCGCCCGCAGGCGGUGCGCCAAGUGUGGGGUGACAGCGACCGGCUUAACCGGUCGAGUGUCCUACAGACUGGCGCACUUGAGGGCCACAGAGGAACACAGAAUUCCGGGUGGAGUGGUGAAAUGCGUAGAUAUUGGGAAGAACACCGGUGGCGAAGGCGGCUCACUGGCUCAUUACUGACGCUCAGGCGCGAUAGCGUGGGGAGCAAACAGG